rnacentral:rRNA from 1 species
UGGGGAAUUUUCCGCAAUGGGCGAAAGCCUGACGGAGUGACGCCGCGUGGGGGACGAAGGCCUUCGGGUUGUAAACCCCUGUCAGAGGGAAAGAAGGGUUCGGGCGUGAAUAGCGCUCGGAUCUGACGGUACUCUCAGAGGAAGCCCCGGCCAACUCUGUGCCAGCAGCCGCGGUAAGACAGAGGGGGCAAGCGUUGCUCGGAAUCACUGGGCGUAAAGGGCGCGUAGGCGGGAUGGCAAGUCGGUCGUGAAAUCUCUCGGCCCAACCGAGAGGGGUCGGCCGAUACUGCCUUUCUUGAGGGAUGCAGAGGAGACUGGAAUUCCCGGUGUAGCGGUGAAAUGUGUAGAGAUCGGGAGGAACACCGGUGGCGAAGGCGGGUCUCUGGGCAUCUCCUGACGCUGAGGCGCGAAAGCGUGGGGAGCAAACGGGAUUAGAUACCCCGGUAGUCCACGCUGUAAACGAUGACGACUAGGUGUGGGGUGGUUCAGUCCACUCCGUGCCGCAGCUAACGCAUUAAGUCGUCCGCCUGGGGAGUACGGCCGCAAGGUUGA